AGAGUUUGAUCCUGGCUCAGAGGAUGAACGCUGGCGGCGUGCUUAACACAUGCAAGUCGAACGAACCUUCGGGUUAGUGGCGGACGGGUGAGUAACGCGUGAGAAUCUGCCCUCAGGAGGGGGAUAACGGUUGGAAACGACCGCUAAUACCCCAUAUAAUGCGAGGUGAAAUGAAUUUCGCCUGAGGAUGAGCUCGCGUCUGAUUAGCUAGUUGGUGGGGUAAAGGCCUACCAAGGCAUCGAUCAGUAGCUGGUCUGAGAGGAUGAUCAGCCACACUGGGACUGAGACACGGCCCAGACUCCUACGGGAGGCAGCAGUGGGGAAUUUUCCGCAAUGGGCGAAAGCCUGACGGAGCAACGCCGCGUGAGGGAUGAAGGCCUCUGGGCUGUAAACCUCUUUUAUCAAGGAAGAAGAUCUGACGGUACUUGAUGAAUAAGCCACGGCUAAUUCCGUGCCAGCAGCCGCGGUAAUACGGGAGUGGCAAGCGUUAUCCGGAAUUAUUGGGCGUAAAGCGUCCGCAGGCGGCCCUUCAAGUCUGCUGUUAAAAAGUGGAGCUUAACUCCAUCAUGGCAGUGGAAACUGUUGGGCUUGAGUGUGGUAGGGGCAGAGGGAAUUCCCGGUGUAGCGGUGAAAUGCGUAGAUAUCGGGAAGAACACCAGUGGCGAAGGCGCUCUGCUGGGCCAUCACUGACGCUCAUGGACGAAAGCCAGGGGAGCGAAAGGGAUUAGAUACCCCUGUAGUCCUGGCCGUAAACGAUGAACACUAGGUGUCGGGGGAAUCGACCCCCUCGGUGUCGUAGCCAACGCGUUAAGUGUUCCGCCUGGGGAGUACGCACGCAAGUGUGAAACUCAAAGGAAUUGACGGGGGCCCGCACAAGCGGUGGAGUAUGUGGUUUAAUUCGAUGCAACGCGAAGAACCUUACCAGGGUUUGACAUCCUGCGAAUCUCUUGGAAACGAGAGAGUGCCUUCGGGAACGCAGUGACAGGUGGUGCAUGGCUGUCGUCAGCUCGUGUCGUGAGAUGUUGGGUUAAGUCCCGCAACGAGCGCAACCCACGUCUUUAGUUGCCAGCAUUUAGUUGGGCACUCUAGAGAGACCGCCGGUGAUAAACCGGAGGAAGGUGUGGAUGACGUCAAGUCAUCAUGCCCCUUACAUCCUGGGCUACACACGUACUACAAUGCUACGGACAAAGGGCAGCAAGUUCGCGAGGACAAGCAAAUCCCAUAAACCGUGGCUCAGUUCAGAUCGUAGGCUGCAACUCGCCUACGUGAAGGAGGAAUCGCUAGUAAUCGCAGGUCAGCAUACUGCGGUGAAUACGUUCCCGGGCCUUGUACACACCGCCCGUCACACCAUGGAAGUUGGCCACGCCCGAAGCCGUUACUCCAACCCUCGGGAGGAGGACGUCGAAGGUGGGGCUGAUGACUGGGGUGAAGUCGUAACA
rnacentral:rRNA from 1 species